rnacentral:rRNA from 1 species
AAACCAACAGGGAUUGCCUUAGUAACGGCGAGUGAAGCGGCAAAAGCUCAAAUUUGAAAUCUGGCACCUUCGGUGUCCGAGUUGUAAUUUGAAGAAGGUAACUUUGGGAUUGGCUCUUGUCUAAGUUCCUUGGAACAGGACGUCACAGAGGGUGAGAAUCCCGUGCGAUGAGAUGACCAAUCCUAUGUAAAGUGCUUUCGAAGAGUCGAGUUGUUUGGGAAUGCAGCUCUAAGUGGGUGGUAAAUUCCAUCUAAAGCUAAAUAUUGGCGAGAGACCGAUAGCGAACAAGUACAGUGAUGGAAAGAUGAAAAGAACUUUGAAAAGAGAGUGAAAAAGUACGUGAAAUUGUUGAAAGGGAAGGGCUUGAGAUCAGACUUGGUAUUUUGCAUUCCUUACCUUCGUGGUGGGGUUCCUUGCAGUUUACUGGGCCAGCAUCGGUUUGGAUGGUGGGAUAAUGACAUUGGAAUGUGGCUCUGCUUCGGUAGAGUGUUAUAGCCAGUGUUGAUACCGCCUGUCUAGACCGAGGACUGCGUCUUUGACUAGGAUGCUGGCAUAAUGAUCUUAAGUCGC